GACGGGGGGGGGGCAAGUGUUCUUCGGAAUGACUGGGCGUAAAGGGCACAUAGGCGGUGAAUCGGGUUGAAAGUGAAAGUCGCCAAAAAGUGGCAGAAUGCUCUCGAAACCAGUUCACUUGAGUGAGACAGAGGAGAGUGGAAUUUCGUGUGUAGGGGUGAAAUCCGUAGAUCUACGAAGGAACGCCAAAAGCGAAGGCAGCUCUCUGGGUCCCUACCGACGCUGGGGUGCGAAAGCAUGGGGAGCGAACGGG
rnacentral:rRNA from 1 species